rnacentral:rRNA from 1 species
GACGGGGGAUGCAAGUGUUAUCCGGAAUCACUGGGCGUAAAGCGUCUGUAGGUGGUCAAAUAAGUCAACUGUUAAAUCUUGAGGCUCAACCUCAAAAUCGCAGUCGAAACUAUUCGACUAGAGUAUAGUAGGGGUAAAGGGAAUUUCCAGUGGAGCGGUGAAAUGCGUAGAUAUUGGGAGGAACACCAGUGGCGAAGGCGGCUCACUGGACCGGUUCUGACGCUGAGGCGCGAAAGCGUGGGGAGCAAACGGG